AGGCCCACCAAGGCGACGAUGGUUAGCUGGUCUGAGAGGAUGAUCAGCCACACUGGAACUGACACACGGUCCAGACUCCUACGGGAGGCAGCAGUGAGGAAUUUCGCGCAAUGGGGGAAACCCUGACGCAGCAACGCCGCGUGAGUGAUGAAGGCUUUCGGGUCGUAAAGCUCUGUCAAGUGGGAAGAAUCUGUACGAUAUUAAUACUAUCGUGCACUGACGGUACCACUGAAGGAAGCACCGGCUAACUCCGUGCCAGCAGCCGCGGUAAUACGGGGGGUGCAAGCGUUAUUCGGAAUUAUUGGGCGUAAAGAGCGCGUAGGCGGUCUUGUAAGUCAGAUGUGAAAUACCGGGGCUCAACCCCGGAAGUGCAUUUGAUACUGCAGGACUUGAGUAUGGGAGAGGGAAGUGGAAUUCCUGGUGUAGAGGUGAAAUUCGUAGAUAUCAGGAGGAACACCGGUGGCGAAGGCGACUUCCUGGACCAAUACUGACGCUGAGGCGCGAAGGCGUGGGGAGCAAACAGGAUUAGAUACCCUGGUAGUCCACGCAGUAAACGUUGAUCACUAGGUGUAGCGGGUAUUGACCCCUGCUGUGCCGCAGUUAACGCAUUAAGUGAUCCGCCUGGGGAGUACGAUCGCAAGGUUAAAACUCAAAGGAAUUGACGGGGGCCCGCACAAGCGGUGGAGCAUGUGGUUUAAUUCGGCAAACGCGAAGAACCUUACCUGGAUUUGACAUCCCGGGACCGCCCUUGAAAGAGGGAAAUGCCCUUCGGGGAGCCCGGUGACAGGUGCUGCAUGGCUGUCGUCAGCUCGUGUCGUGAGAUGUUGGGUUAAGUCCCGCGACGAGCGCAACCCUUAUCUUUAGUUACCAUCAUUUGGUUGGGGACUCUAAAGAUACUGCCCCGGUUAACGGGGAGGAAGGUGGGGAUGACGUCAAGUCCUCAUGGCCUUUAUGUCCAGGGCUACACACGUGCUACAAUGGACUGUACAAAGGGUCGCAAUCCCGCGAGGGGGAGCUAAUCCCACAAAGCAGUUCUCAGUUCGGAUUGGAGUCUGCAACUCGACUUCAUGAAGUUGGAAUCGCUAGUAAUCGUGGAUCAGCAUGCCACGGUGAAUACGUUCCCGGGCCUUGUACACACCGCCCGUCACACCAUGAGAGUUGGUUGUACCAGAAGUUGUUGGACUAACCCGCAAGGGGGGUAAACACCUAAGGUAUGGCUGAUGAUUGGGGUGAAGUCGUAACAAGGUA
rnacentral:rRNA from 1 species